CAAUAGCGUAUAUUAAAGUUGUUGCAGUUAAAAAGCUCGUAGUUGGAUUUCUGGUGGGAGCGAUCGGUCUGGCGCUUAGCGCGAGUACUUGCAUCGUCUCCGGCCAUCCUUGGGGAAAGUCUGUCUGGCAUUAAGUUGUCGGGCAGAGGAUCCUCAUCGUUUACUGUGAAAAAAUUAGAGUGUUCAAAGCAGGCUUAUGCCGUUGAAUAUAUUAGCAUGGAAUAAUAAGAUAGGACUUUGGUACUAUUUUGUUGGUUUGCGCACCAAAGUAAUGAUUAAUAGGGACAGUUGGGGGUAUUCGUAUUCCGUUGUCAGAGGUGAAAUUCUUGGAUUUACGGAAGACGAACUACUGCGUAAGCAUUUACCAAGGAUGUUUUCAUUAA
rnacentral:rRNA from 1 species